GGGCCGUUAGCUCAGCGGAUAGAGCAGCUACCUUCUAAGUAGCGGGUCGAAGGUUCGAUUCCUUCACGGCCUA
rnacentral:tRNA from 2 species